GCAUAUCAAUAAGCGGAGGAAAAGAAACCAACAGGGAUUGCCCUAGUAACGGCGAAGUGAAGCGGCAACAGCUCAAAUUUGAAAUCUGGCUCUUUUAGAGUCCGAGUUGUAAUUUGCAGAGGGCGCUUUGGCUUUGGCAGCGGUCCAAGUUCCUUGGAACAGGACGUCACAGAGGGUGAGAAUCCCGUACGUGGUCGCUAGCUAUUGCCGUGUAAAGCCCCUUCGACGAGUCGAGUUGUUUGGGAAUGCAGCUCUAAAUGGGAGGUAAAUUUCUUCUAAAGCUAAAUACUGGCCAGAGACCGAUAGCGCACAAGUAGAGUGAUCGAAAGAUGAAAAGCACUUUGGAAAGAGAGUCAAACAGCACGUGAAAUUGUUGAAAGGGAAGCGCUUGCAGCCAGACUUGCUUGCAGUUGCUCAUCCGGGCUCUUUUGCCCGGUGCAUUCUUCUGCAGGCAGGCCAGCAUCAGUUUGGGCGGUGGGAUAAAGGUCUCUGUCACGUACCUCUCUUCGGGGAGGCCUUAUAGGGGAGACGACAUACCACCAGCCUGGACUGAGGUCCGCGCAUUUAUGCUAGGAUGCUGGCGUAAUGGCUGUAAGCGGCCCGUCUUGAAACACGGACCAAGGAGUCUAACAUCUAUGCGAGUGUUUGGGUGUCAAGCCCGAACGCGUAAUGAAAGUGAACGGAGGUGGGAACCCGCAAGGGUGCACCAUCGACCGAUCCUGAUGUCUUCGGAAGGAUUUGAGUAAGAGCAUGGCUGUUGGGACCCGAAAGAUGGUGAACUAUGCUUGAAUAGGGUGAAGCCAGAGGAAACUCUGGUGGAGGCUCGCAGCGGUUCUGACGUGCAAAUCGAUCGUCAAAUUUGGGCAUAGGGGCGAAAGACUAAUCGAACUAUCUAGUAGCUGGUUCUGCG
rnacentral:rRNA from 1 species